AACAGAAAACAGAAACACUGAAAAGACUUUUCAGCAAUGGCCGUUGCUUCCUCGACCUCUGCAACCAAAGUCCCCGCUAAGAAGGAGAAGGAGAGCAUGGACACGAAGAAGGGGAGCCAGGUCGUCGACGGCGAGGGUGGUAAUGGGAACAAAGCGAAGCGCGCAAAGUGCCCCGGAGUUCGCGUCGUCGGGAACCGAAUCUACGAUUCUGAGAAUGGGAAGACCUGUCACCAGUGUCGUCAAAAAACAAUGGAUUUUACGGCAUCAUGUAAGAACCUGAAAGUAAACAAGCCUUGUACCAUAAGGUUCUGUCACAAAUGCCUAUUGAACAGAUAUGGAGAGAAAGCAGAGGAGAUGGAGAUGUUGGAUGACUGGAAAUGUCCCAAGUGUAGAGGCAUUUGCAAUUGCAGUUUCUGCAUGAAGAAAAAAGGUCAGAAACCCACUGGCAUACUAGUGCUAACAGCCAAGAAUGCUGGGUAUUCAUCUGUUUUGGAAAUGCUGAAAGUCAAAGGUCCUGAUAAUUUGGGUGAAGAAGAGGUUGUUGAAAUUGCAGGUGUCUCGCCGAAAAAGGCGGUUGCUUCAAACAAGGGACCUGAAGUGGUUUCACCGAGGAAAAUGGGAAAGGAAAAUUCUUUUGAUGGAAAGGCUGAUGCUGACUUGAAUUCUCAGAUGUCGGCAACAGGCUGUAGUGAGAAGAAGUCAAAGAAAACAAAGCGGGGAGGAUUGAAGGAAAUGUGUAAUGGCAGCAGGGAUGAAGGUGCUGACCCAAAUAGAAGUAGCCUGAUAAAACCUAUAAGGUCUGAGGAGAUCUCUAAAAAAGAAGUUCAAAUAAAUGGAAAAGAUAGCAGUGUCCUCUCCAAGAAGGAUGCUAAAACUCAGCAAGAUGCAGGAAUGUCGAAUGCUUUGAAGAAUGAGAAUGCCCGGGCCAAGCCUAAGAAAGUCCGAAUGCCAUGGUGUACCAUGAAUAUUGAGAACACAGAAUUUGACGCUGACAUUCCUAUGCCUCAGGGUGCCAACUUGGCGAGCAUAGCCGACAUUGAGUUACAUCCUGAAGAUGUUGGACAUGCAUUACAAUUUUUAGAAUUUUGUGCCUCUUUUGGAAAGGUGCUUGAUGUUAAAAAAGGACAAGCUGAAUCUUUACUUCAAGAAUUAAGAUAUGGGAGACGUGGGCGGCGAGCUCAAUAUUCAAUGACAGUUCAAUUUCAUAUCCAACUUUUGUCUUUAAUACAAAAGGAUGCGGGGAAAGAGUUUCUUUCAUCAAGUCCGACAAAUGAAAGAAAGUCAUGGUGGCCAGCUCUGGGGAAAUGCAUCUCCGAAUCCCAAUGUGCGUUGAAAGAACUGCACUUGGAUUGCUUUGAUAGAGGUGCUGAUGAAUAUGACAACUUAAACUUCUCAAUGAAACUUAGAAUCAUAAAUUUUCUUUGUGAUGAGGCUCUAGGCACAAUAAAAUUGAGGAGUUGGAUUGAUGACCAAAAUUCAAAAGUUGUAGAACAAGAGAAGAAAGCAAAAGAAAAGCUUAUCGCUGCAAAGGAGAAGGAGAAACGUGUAAAGCAGAAGUUGCGGGAUGAGGUGGCCAAAGCUAUUAUUGCAAAAAAUGGUGUUCCUCUUUCUAUUUCAGAGCAUGAAGCUAUUAUUUCAAGAAUAAAAAGUGAUGCUGCUCAAGCUCAUGCUGAGAUGCUUGAUGCUAAGGGCAUGGUAUCUAAGAAGAGGCCAAGAUUUGAUGCUAUUAGAACAGAGGCUAUGUUUUUGGAUGUUGAUGGUCGUGCAUUUUGGAAAUUGAAAGGCUAUACUGGUGAAAAGGAUAUUCUACUUCAAGAUAUGGGAACCUGGGAUGCAGUGGCGUCUGAUGAGAAAUGGUUUGUCUAUGGUGCUGAACAGAAACAAGCGAUUGAGCAGUACUUUUAUUCUGUAAGGGGAAAAAGGCCAAGGAUUCAAAAUGUUGGUCACGCUGUUCCAAGUGGAAAUAAUGGAGCAAAGAUAUAGCUGGUGCUUGGAUAGUUUGCCACCUAUAAAUAUUAGAACUUGGGGUAAUUUUACAAGAACCUCUUUAUUUUUGUGAUUGUUUAUUUCAGGUACUUGGUUGCAAAUGGAAGUGAGUUUCUUAAGGUAAAUGCAAUAUCAAAACCUAAAGGGUUUGUGAAAUUGUGCUAUAAAGGUUCAGUAUAAUGUUGAAGUGAACUGGAUUCAGGCAGCUAAGAAGAGAGAUUUAGUUUCUGCUGUACUUUGGAUCAUUCUCUUGCUUCCAUUUUUUUGGAGAUAUAAAUGUGUAUAUCUAAAGGGAAGUGCGAAUAGACCAUAUGAACCAAUGGUGGUUUUCUAUCAUGUUUUGUAUCCGGGAAUGUUGUAUCAGCAUGUAUGCCUCCCAGUGAAAGUUAUGCCCACUUUCGUAUUUGUACAUCGUCUCUUCUCUUUUUCCUUUUUCCCAAACAGAAAUUUGUUGACUAUGGGGGGUUUUAGGCUCCCAACUGUACUUGUAAAUAUGAGCACAAUGUGGCAUUAUGAGACUGAUCUGAUAUAUUCUUUCAACCA